rnacentral:rRNA from 1 species
UACGGAGGGUGCAAGCGUUGUCCGGAAUCACUGGGCGUAAAGGGCGCGUAGGCGGCUCAUGAAGGCUGUGGUGAAAGUCCGGGGCUCAACCUCGGAUCGGCCGUGGCGACUCGUGGGCUGGAGCACUGUAGAGGCGGGUGGAAUUCCGGGUGUAGCGGUGGAAUGUGUAGAGAUCCGGAAGAACACCAGUGGCGAAGGCGGCCCGCUGGGCAGUGGCUGACGCUGAGGCGCGACAGCGUGGGGAGCAAACAGG